CCUACGGAGGCAGCAGUGGGGAAUAUUGGACAAUGGGCGAAAGCCUGAUCCAGCAAUGCCGCGUGAGUGAUGAAGGCCUUCGGGUCGUAAAGCUCUUUUACCAGGGAUGAUAAUGACAGUACCUGGAGAAUAAGCUCCGGCUAACUCCGUGCCAGCAGCCGCGGUAAUACGGAGGGAGCUAGCGUUGUUCGGAAUUACUGGGCGUAAAGAGUACGUAGGCGGUUAUUCAAGUCAGAGGUGAAAGCCCGGGGCUCAACCCCGGAACUGCCUUUGAAACUAGAUAACUAGAGUCUUGGAGAGGUUAGUGGAAUUCCGAGUGUAGAGGUGAAAUUCGUAGAUAUUCGGAAGAACACCAGUGGCGAAGGCGACUAACUGGACAAGUACUGACGCUGAGGUACGAAAGCGUGGGGAGCAAACAGGAUUAGAUACCCUGGUAGUCCACGCCGUAAACGAUGAUAACUAGUUGUUCGGUCACUUGGUGACUGAGUGACGCAGCUAACGCAUUAAGUUAUCCGCCUGGGGAGUACGGUCGCAAGAUUAAACUCAAAGGAAUUGACGG
rnacentral:rRNA from 1 species